UAUUAAUAGAUCGUGUUAUUCUUGUUUACCAUAAUCCCCACUAUUCUUUACUGGUUCCUUAGCACUAGCAUAGUUUGAGUAUCAUCACUUGUGUGUUAUAUUGUGAUAAAUCGAUUGCUGGUACUAGGUGAGUGUCUGGUGGACAUUAUUGGUGAUCUACCCAACAUCCAUUCACCUUCCCUCACCUUAGCAGAACCAGGAUUUUUUUCAUGUAUCCAUGUAGCACUUUGAUUCCAUAAGUCUUAGGGAAAACUGAUUUCACCCCAAUCUCCCAGGAUUAUCUUAAAUACUAAGUUCCGUUUCCCAAGCCAGAGUCCUAGUCAGCAAUUGACAGUUUAAUCAGGGUGAAUUUCUUUGAAUACUAGAACUGAAGCAGUUUCUUAUCUUCCAGAUUUUUUGUGUGAGGCUGAAACUGUUGGAGGCUUCCUGCUACCAUUCUUGAGAAUGGAGCGACCACACAGGGGUAGGUCUACUCUUCCAUAUUACUGUUACUGUGCAACUAGAAACCCACCUGACCUUGGAGGAGAAGGAACAGCAUCACUGAAAUGCUUGCAUCAGGCAUUGGGGAUGGGAGUACAGCAAGUAAUUACGAAGGAUCAAUGAGAGAGAAUUGAAAUCAAUAUAAUGGAUACAGUAUAUCAAUUUAAACAUGUAUUGACUCCAGCAACUACAUGUAUUAAGAUACGAAUUUCUGAUGCCCAAAGGCGUGUGGCCAAAUUCAGUUAAAAGGUCUUACAGCAGUAGUAUACAACCAGGAAUCCACAAAUGUUCGGAAUCUUGCCUCAUCAGCACCCCUUUCCCGCCUCAGAAGAAAGAAUAAGGCUGAUUACAUUGAUGACUAAUGCAGUUACCUAGAGAGUUAUGAAUUCUCCAAAGACUGCCUCCAGACUCUCAGCUCUUGUAAAGCCCUUCCAGGUGAAGCUGCCAUCCUCGUCAACCCUGCAAUACUUCUAGCACUCAGCCAACUCUCUCUUCGCACUGUCACAACUUCAGGAAACACUUUGAUCUUAAAUAUGCACAUGCUGAUAUAUAGUGAAUUCACGCUUCAUCUUUAUUGCAGAAUGACAGUAGUAUCUCCUCCCAAAGGCAUUUAUAAAACAGGAGACACAUGAGUUAAUUUGGAACAAGUGGAAGGAAGUUCAGGGUUUCCUGACAUCCCUUCCCUGUUCUUCCUCCCAAGCAUAGUUCUGGUUGGUAACAUUUACGUUGGAAAAAUGGCAUAAGUCAUUAUGCUUCACUUAUUGAACUAAAACUUCAAAUUACAAUUUAUGCACCAGCCUAGAAGCUGGAUUCAUUUGCAACAUGUACUUGAAUAAGGUUUUAAAAGUAACUGGG